rnacentral:rRNA from 1 species
AUUGAACGCUGGCGGCAGGCCUAACACAUGCAAGUCGAGCGGGGUUUUCGGACCUAGCGGCGGACGGGUGAGUAAUGCGUAGGAAGCUACCCGAUAGAGGGGGAUACCAGUUGGAAACGACUGUUAAUACCGCAUAAUGUCUACGGACCAAAGUGUGGGACCUUCGGGCCACAUGCUAUCGGAUGCGCCUACGUGGGAUUAGCUAGUUGGUGAGGUAAUGGCUCACCAAGGCGACGAUCCCUAGCUGGUUUGAGAGGAUGAUCAGCCACACUGGAACUGAGACACGGUCCAGACUCCUACGGGAGGCAGCAGUGGGGAAUAUUGGACAAUGGGCGCAAGCCUGAUCCAUCCAUGCCGCGUGUGUGAAGAAGGCCUUCGGGUUGUAAAGCACUUUCAGUAGGGAGGAAGCGUUGUGUGUUAAUAGUACACAGCGUUGACGUUACCUACAGAAGAAGCACCGGCUAACUCUGUGCCAGCAGCCGCCGCGGUAA